GGAUUAGAUACCCUGGUAGUCCACGCCGUAAACGAUGAGUGCUAGAUGUUGGGAUUUAUUCUCAGUCUCGUAGCUAACGCGUUAAGCACUCCGCCUGGGGAAUACAAUCGCAAGAUUAAAACUCAAAGGAAUUGACGGGGGCUCGCACAAGCGGUGGAGCAUGCGGUUUAAUUCGAUGCUACGCGAAAAACCUUACCAACACUUGACAUGGUGGUCGCGGGUCGCAGAAAUGUGACUCUUCAGUUUGGCUGGAUCACACACAGGUGCUGCAUGGCUGUCGUCAGCUCGUGCCG
rnacentral:rRNA from 1 species